UACGUAGGGGGCAAGCGUUGUCCGGAAUUAUUGGGCGUAAAGAGCGCGUAGGCGGUCCGAUAAGUCGGCUGUGAAAGUCCAGGGCUCAACCCUGGAAAGCCGGCCGAUACUGUCGGACUAGAGUCCGGAAGAGGCAAGUGGAAUUCCCGGUGUAGCGGUGAAAUGCGCAGAUAUCGGGAGGAACACCAAUUGCGAAGGCAAGCUUGCUGG
rnacentral:rRNA from 1 species